CACGUAGGGGGCAAGCGUUGUCCGGAUUCAUUGGGCGUAAAGAGCGUGUAGGCGGCCAGGUAGGUCGGUUGUGAAAACUGGAGGCUCAACCUUCAGAGGUCGACCGAAACCAUCUGGCUAGAGUCCGGGAGAGGAGAGUGGAAUUCCUGGUGUAGCGGUGAAAUGCGCAGAUAUCAGGAAGAACACCCGUGGCGAAAGCGGCUUCCUGGUCCAGCACCGACGUUCAGGCACGAAAGCGUGGGGAGCAAACAGG
rnacentral:rRNA from 1 species